CAAUAGCGUAUAUUUAAGUUGUUGCAGUUAAAAAGCUCGCAGUUGGAUUUCGGAUGGGAUUUGCCGGUCCGUCGUUACGAUGUGCACUGGCCAGUCCUAUCUUGUUGUCGGGGACUAGCUCCUUGGAUUCACUUCCUGGGACUAGGAGCUGACGAGGUUACUUUGAGUAAAUUAGAGUGUUCAAAGCAAGCCUACGCUCUGAAUACAUUAGCAUGGAAUAACACGAUAGGACUCUGGCUUAUCUUGUUGGUCUGUGAGACCAGAGUAAUGAUUAAGAGGGACAGUCGGGGACAUUCGUAUUUCAUUGUCAGAGGUGAAAUUCUUGGAUUUAUGAAAGACGAACUUCUGCGAAAGCAUUUGUCAAGGAUGUUUUCAUUAA
rnacentral:rRNA from 1 species